CUUGAAGAGGGGAGAAGGGUGGGUGGAGAGUGGUCUUUUUGAAAACUGCAUCGAUGCACUAAUGCACUGAAAUCUGAGCUCUUAUUGGAUCUGAAGGGCAGCCUGAGACAGCCAUCCUCCAGCAUCUACCCCUGUUUAAAGGGAUUGCUUUCAUUCACAGAAGGAGAGGCGAAAAAGCCUUCCAGCAGAGCCCAGUCCGGCUCAGCUCGUCUCCCCGUGUGCCCGUCUGCCUCGUCUCUGCUGAGGCCAGCUGACCGGUCCCUUUGGGCUGACCGGCCAACAGGCAGACCGGCGGCUCUCCUGUACCAGCGCCGGUGGACCGUGAUGCAUGCAGGAGCAGCCGACUGCCUAGUGGCCUCUGACAUUUGCUGUGGAAAAGAGGGGAUGCGCUCAGUCCUCUUGUUCUGCUGCAAUCGAGCUUCAGGGUCCUGACCUGCCUGUGAAAGGAAACAGCCAAGAUGAGACCAGCACCUUUCCAUCAUCGCCACUUCAAGCUUCUACACCACGCCUCAAAGCCAUGUGAUUUAAAACUAAACACUGAAUGACAUAAUUCACUCAGAGGAAACAGGUUACAUUUUUACAAAGACCAAGUUAGUACAUCAUUUGACCUAUUGUCAUCUGCUUAACAAAUCUUAAAGAUUAGUAAAUUGCACACUUCCUUGAACUGUUUGAAGGUCAGAAGAAAAAUGUUUGUCUGGAAAACAUGAACAAACAGUUUUGAGAAAUGUCUUCUUUAAAAGGCGAAUCCAAAUGUCAGAGAGACAGAUACACAGAGAGCGCUGCCUUCUGGGCGUCGAGCAGAAAAUCUUCAGAAUAAUAUUUUUUCCCAGUUGGAGCGAACUGCAAUUACCCGUCAUCAAACAUACAAAGCAGAGUGUUUGCACUCUCAUAGCCUGGAGAGGAACAUGGUCACUGUUUGCAAAAUCACACAAAGGAGACUCAGGAAUAGCAAUGUAGGAGUGUUAUUAAGAUCAGAUUUACUGGAUUUAUGUUGCAGUGAUUAGUCAGAUAAUAAAAUCCACUGACAGCUUAUUUAUAAACUAUUGUGUAUAAAGGAGUAGCUCCAAAUUCUGAGGUGUAAAUUUUUUCCAACAUAAUGGUAAACAUAUAACACAAAGUGAGAUAGGAACUUUUUUUUUUAUCUUUAUGCAUUUUUUAGACAAAGAGUGGCUCAAAAUUACCAUGAAUAAAAUGAAACACUUCAUGCUAUUAUAUUUAUGUUUUUUCCUUUUCUGAUUCAUGACACAACAGAGGAAUGUAUACAACGCUGUAAUUAAAUGGAAGGGAAAAUAUUGAGAUUAUUAAUUAGGUUCAUUAAAAUACUGACACAUACGUUUUAUUCCUAGCUUCUCUAAGAAGUUGACAUAAAGGCUGAACUUUAGCCGGUGCCGUAGCACAGAGCUGCACCCUGCUUGACUGUUUUGACAGAUUUUUUUUUAAUGAAAAACGGAUUCACAAAUCCAAUAUUUUAUAAGCCCAUGUAACUUUGAAGUGUUUUAAUUUAUUGAAUUUCAGUGUAUGCAACCAACAAACAAUUUGAAAACACUCAUCUCAUAGCCCCACCUUUAAUUUAACCAUUGAUUGUAAGCAUGUUAAACUCAACAGCAGUGAGCCUUAAGUGCAUUCUGUAUACCUACUUAUUUGUUUUUGACAUUUUUCUUUUACUGUUUUACAUUGCCACAUACAGGCCUGGUUAAUUACUGACUGUGUUCUUGAUAAACAUGUUUAAAAGGACAAAUAAAUUAAUUAUUUUAGAAAAACUCUCCAGAAAUAGUGGUAAAUGACACUUCAGAAUAUCUAUCACUACUGGUGUGACAACGUUUCAGUUGGUUUAUUUAUUGGUUUUAAAUCUUUCUGUAUUCCCUGUAUUUAAGAGACACAUAUUUUUUCUGGAUUUUUUGAAGUACUGGUCAGCGAGGAAGACUCCAAGCUAAGUAAUCAAAUUUAAAAAGUUCUAAUGUUCACAGCUCUUUAUAUAACUAAGUCUGUGCGCUAAUAUGGAAUAACAAAUGAGUUCAAUAUUGCAUCCGUGAUAAUGUUGUUUUUCUUUUCCUAACUUGUGAAACAAUGAUCUCAUGAAGAUUUACAUCAAUCCACGGCUGUCUGUCUGUAGUUUCAAUUUAGUUUUUAUAAAGUACUUGUUAUAAUUCUUGAUGUUUGUCCUUUAUAAAAGUAAUGCAUUUUAUGAAAUAUGAUACAUCUUUGAAUAAUUUGCCAUUUAAGGGAAUUUGCACUGUACACGCUUAUUUCUUUUGUUAGCUGGAAGUAAACAAGUUAAUCUGCUUAAAAUUUGUUAGAUCAUUUCAUGAAUAAAUGAUGAAAAUCCCA